ensembl:lncRNA
UUACACAGCACAAUACUUCAACGGGACCGUCAUUUAUAGCAGUUUUAACAUCGCCAGCAUCUCCCUGAGGUGUUUUACAAGAAAAUCCCAUUCAAGACGACCUUGAUGAAUCCUGUGCAUAAGAGAUCAGCCCUGAUGUCAGACCUCAUAAGAGUCGGAAGCAUCACUGAAGGACAAGCGGUGCGGCGGGCCUCUCACUGCUAAAUUGCAUAAUGGACACCUCGGCUGGUCUGGGCCUUUGGGACGUAGGUCAUCUUACAGUGGCCAGAUGCCGCAUAAAUUAAAUCCAUGAGAGUUAGGAAUGACAUGAGGGUGAGUAUAUGACUCAGUUCUCAUAUUAGCAGACAUACUGUAGUGUUAAAAAGAUGGCAGUAAGGUAAGCUCUUCUUUUUUGGGAACAGAUGGCAAUGGAGUUGAAAUGACAUCCAGGCCCGUGUUCUGUCCUCUGAGCAGCUGCGUGGAGUGUUUUGGAAGAGUGGCCCCUGAUGAAACAAUAAUACAUUCUCCGCUGCUUCCACGAGCAUAAGGUGAGGGAAUAAUGCACGUUUCCAUUCCAUAGAGGUUCAACAAGAUGUUCCUCGAUCCCUAUUAAUGAGCUCAGAGGACCCAAUGUCCUGCUUUCAUUUUUUACUCUGGCUUUUGCAGAUAUGAUGUGACAGAUGCCUGGUCACUGCUGAAAUUUGUGCUUGGCCAGACAAACAUGAGUCAAGCAAUUACUGUCACUUUGGAGGAUGGAUUAAACACAGAAGCAUAUGCACGUCGAAGGUAGCUGCACAUACAGAUGAGUUUAUCCUUAAGGACUGAUGCUUAAGGACAAGGGAGCUUUCAUGCAACUCAUCUAAACAGGCCUUGUAGUAAAAAUAAAUAAAUAAAAAAAAUAAAUCCCA